AUCGAAUGAAUUAAGGGCAAUUGGUGAAUGCCUUGGCGACAUCAGGCGAUGAAGGACGUGGCUAGCUGCGAUAAGCCUCGGGUAGCGGCAAACACGCUUUGACCCGGGGAUUUCCGAAUGGGAGAACCCGGCAGUCUUAAUCGGCUGUCAUUUAUGUCUGAAUACAUAGGGCAUAAAAGCGAUACCCGCUGAAUUGAAACAUCUUAGUAAGCGGAGGAAAAGAAAGAGAAUCGAUUCCCUCAGUAGCGGCGAGCGAAAUGGGACCAGCCCAAACCGGUUGUGCUUGCACGACCGGGGUUGUAGGACUCCAAUGUGGUACUUGAAUGGCUAGGUGAAUCAUUUGGAAAGAUGAUCCAUAGAAGGUGAUAGACCUGUAACCGAAAGCUUGAAGAGACCUAGGAUG
rnacentral:rRNA from 1 species